rnacentral:rRNA from 2 species
UUGACCUCAAAUCGGGUGAGACUACCCGCUGAACUUAAGCAUAUCAAUAAGCGGAGGAAAAGAAACUAACAAGGAUUCCCCUAGUAACUGCGAGUGAAGCGGGAAAAGCUCAAAUUUAAAAUCUGGUGGCCUUUGGUCAUCCGAGUUGUAAUUUAGAGAAGCGUCUUCCGCGCUGGACCGUGCACAAGUCUCCUGGAAUGGAGCGUCAUAGAGGGUGAGAAUCCCGUCUUUGGCACGGAUCCCGGUGCUUCUGUGAUGCGCUCUCGAAGAGUCGAGUUGUUUGGGAAUGCAGCUCAAAAUGGGUGGUGAACUCCAUCUAAAGCUAAAUAUUGGCGAGAGACCGAUAGCGAACAAGUACCGUGAGGGAAAGAUGAAAAGCACUUUGGAAAGAGAGUGAAACAGUACGUGAAAUUGUUGAAAGGGAAACGCUUGAAGUCAGUCGCGUCGUCCGAGACUCAGCCUCGCCUCGGCUUGGUGUACUUCUCGACCGACGGGUCAGCAUCAAUUUCACCCCUUGGAUAAUGGCGAGGGAAAUGUGGCACCUUUGCGGGUGCGUUAUAGUCCCUCGUCGCAUGCAAGGGUCGGGAUUGAGGAACUCAGCACGCGCCUUUUG